AGUUACCGCCUUUCUGUCUUCAGCUUCACGAUGCUUCCCUUGGCCAAAAACGCACUAAAUCGUCUCGGAGUUCGAAGCAUUUGGCAAACAAUGGCAAGGCAGAACCACCAGAAGCGGGCACCUGAUUUCCAUGACGAAUAUGGUAAUGCUGUAUUAGCCAGUGCAGCCACUUUCCACGUUGCUGUAUGGGCGUAUACAGCAACACAAAUUGGAAUAGAAUGGAACCUGUCCCCUGUUUGCAGAGUCACCCCAAAGGAAUGGAGAGAACACUAAUCAUCCCAGCUGGUUUCAUACUGAAUUGUUUCAAAAUCAACUCAUAAUUGAUGCCAAGUAAAAAGCAUUAUGUACCCAUUAACAUAUGGCGUGAUUGUAGAAACAAAGUACACUUGAAAACUUAAAAAAAAAAGAA